AUGCCAUCUGCUUCGAAGGCUAACCUUGAAUUUCCCAUAAAUCACUCCUCUCUUGAUAUUUCUCUCAAGCGUUAUAAUGUUGAUACAUACUCAAGACUAACAAGCAUGAUUCUAUCACAAACUGAGCAUUGCAAAAGGAUUAACAAGUAUUUGACAACACUGACAGAGAGGGAAAAAUGGUUGUCUAUCAGAGAAUCAAACUCAUUUUUAACGCUGAAAAUGGUACUUAACUUCCUUAAGUUCUUAAUUUUAUUUGCCAUUUCUCUCUUUGAUAAAAAACCAGUUUCUAGUUGUUACACUCCUGGAAAAAAUGUUUCAAUGGACAAAUCAUAA